UACAGAGGUCCCAAGCGUUGUUCGGAUUCACUGGGCGUAAAGGGUGCGCAGGUGGUCGGGUAAGUCUGAUGUGAAAUCCCGCAGCUUAACUGCGGAAUGGCAUUGGAUACUAUUUGGCUAGAGGGUUGGAGGGGGGACUGGAAUUCUCGGUGUAGCAGUGAAAUGCGUAGAUAUCGAGAGGAACACCAGUGGCGAAGGCGAGUCCCUGGACAACACCUGACACUGAGGCACGAAAGCCGGGGGAGCAAACAGG
rnacentral:rRNA from 1 species